UUGGAAACCUUAGAGCAGUGCUUCUCAAAUGUUAAAUGUGCAUGCAACAAAUCACGUGGGCAUCUUAUUAAAAAUGCAGAUUUUUGAGUCAAGGGUCUGGAAAGGGCUGAGAUUGUAUAGUUCUAAGGAGAUGCCAGGUGUUGCCAAUUCUGCUGCACUGGACACCACACUUAGAGUGGCAAGGUCACUAAAUAAUCAGAGCCAAAGGAUUGUGAGAAUACCCUGACAUUAGGGAGAAGGAGGCUCACUGUAAAGACGAUGAGUGGGGCUACCACGUGGUCAGGAGGAAAAGACUCACAAAGAAAGAUGAAAAUUGUAGAGGUGCUGUGGAAAGAGCACAUGCUGAAGGAAUCCUCUGAAAAGCAGCCCAGAGGCAAUGACAUACUGGUGCCAGCAGAGGCGGAGAAGCACACUUUAGCACAACAAAAACUUAAAUGAAUCAUGCUCAAUGUGGAAAAUUUGAAUAGAUAUGGCUAAGGAUAAAAGACAACACACACCUAAUCUCUCUACCUAGAGAGAAGCAAGGUUGCUAUAUUUCUCUUCCUCAAUGCAUAUUUAUAUACUGUUGAUAUUUUUACUGUCCAUGAAAUUUUGCUUUAAUGAAACCUUUAAAUUAUGAAA